rnacentral:rRNA from 1 species
UACGUAGGGUGCGAGCGUUGUCCGGAAUUAUUGGGCGUAAAGAGCUCGUAGGCGGUCUGUCGCGUCGAAUGUGAAAACCCGGGGCUCAACUCCGGGCUUGCAUUCGAUACGGGCAGGCUAGAGUUCGGUAGGGGAGUCUGGAAUUCCUGGUGUAGCGGUGAAAUGCGCAGAUAUCAGGAGGAACACCGGUGGCGAAGGCGGGACUCUGGGCCGAUACUGACGCUGAGGAGCGGAAGCGUGGGGAGCGAACAGG